rnacentral:tRNA from 1 species
AAACAUCCGCCGGAAGAACGGAACUCAUUGAUGUUGAGUAUUAUGAAAAUUUUUCGAUGUUUA